UACGUAGGGGGCAAGCGUUGUCCGGAUUUAUUGGGCGUAAAGAGCGUGUAGGCGGCUUUACAGGUCCGUUGUGAAAACUCGAGGCUCAACCUCGAGACGCCGGUGGAAACCGUAAAGCUAGAGUCCGGAAGAGGAGAGUGGAAUUCCUGGUGCAGCGGUGAAAUGCGCAGAUAUCAGGAAGAACACCCGUGGCGAAGGCGGCUCUCUGGGACGGUACUGACGCUGAGACGCGAAAGCGUGGGGAGCGAACAGG
rnacentral:rRNA from 1 species